UACGUAGGGUGCAAGCGUUAAUCGGAAUUACUGGGCGUAAAGCGUGCGCAGGCGGUUUUGUAAGUUUGUCGUGAAAUCCCCGGGCUCCAACCUGGGAAUGGCGAUGAAGACUGCAAGGCUAGAAUCUGGCAGAGGGGGGUAGAAUUCCACGUGUAGCAGUGAAAUGCGUAGAGAUGUGGAGGAACACCGAUGGCGAAGGCAGCCCCCUGGGUCAAGAUUGACGCUCAUGCACGAAAGGCGU
rnacentral:rRNA from 1 species